AGAGUUUGAUCCUGGCUCAGGAUGAACGCUGGCGGCGUGCUUAACACAUGCAAGUCGAACGGGGAUUAUUUUGACAGAGACUUCGGUUGAAGUCGUUAUAAUCCUAGUGGCGGACGGGUGAGUAACGCGUGGGUAACCUGCCUCACACUGGGGGAUAACAGUCAGAAAUGACUGCUAAUACCGCAUAAGCGCACGGGGCCGCAUGGCUCAGUGUGAAAAACUCCGGUGGUGUGAGAUGGACCCGCGUUGGAUUAGCCAGUUGGCAGGGUAACGGCCUACCAAAGCGACGAUCCAUAGCCGGCCUGAGAGGGUGGACGGCCACAUUGGGACUGAGACACGGCCCAGACUCCUACGGGAGGCAGCAGUGGGGAAUAUUGCACAAUGGGGGAAACCCUGAUGCAGCGACGCCGCGUGAAGGAAGAAGUAUCUCGGUAUGUAAACUUCUAUCAGCAGGGAAGAAAAUGACGGUACCUGACUAAGAAGCCCCGGCUAACUACGUGCCAGCAGCCGCGGUAAUACGUAGGGGGCAAGCGUUAUCCGGAUUUACUGGGUGUAAAGGGAGCGUAGACGGAGCAGCAAGUCUGAUGUGAAAGGCGGGGGCUCAACCCCUGGACUGCAUUGGAAACUGUUGAUCUUGAGUACCGGAGAGGUAAGCGGAAUUCCUAGUGUAGCGGUGAAAUGCGUAGAUAUUAGGAGGAACACCAGUGGCGAAGGCGGCUUACUGGACGGUAACUGACGUUGAGGCUCGAAAGCGUGGGGAGCGAACAGGAAUAGAUACCCUGGUAGUCCACGCCGUAAACGA
rnacentral:rRNA from 1 species